UAAGGAAUAUUGGUCAAUGGACGCAAGUCUGAACCAGCCAUGCCGCGUGAAGGAUGAAGGUCCUCUGGAUUGUAAACUUCUUUUAUCUGGGACGAAAACGGGAUUUUUAUCUCAAUUGACGGUACCAGAGGAAUAAGCACCGGCUAACUCCGUGCCAGCAGCCGCGGUAAUACGGAGGGUGCGAGCGUUAUCCGGAUUUACUGGGUUUAAAGGGUGCGUAGGUGGGCUUAUAAGUCAGUGGUGAAAUCUCCGAGCUUAACUUGGAAACUGCCGUUGAUACUAUAGGUCUUGAAUUAUCUGGAGGUAAGCGGAAUAUGUCAUGUAGCGGUGAAAUGCUUAGAUAUCAGGAGGAACACCGGCGGUGUAGACGGCUUGCUAGACCAUAACUGACGCUGAGGCACGAAAGCGUGGGUAGCAAACA
rnacentral:rRNA from 1 species